rnacentral:rRNA from 1 species
CAACUUUCAACAACGGAUCUCUUGGCUCUCGCAUCGAUGA